UACGUACUCCCUUUGUCUGGAAUUACUUGUCCUAGGAAUUGACGUAUCUAAAUUUAUUUUAAUUUUAAAUACAUCCAUUUUUAUGCAUUUUUGCGACUAGUACUAAUUUGGGACGGAGGGAGUAUAUG
rnacentral:pre_miRNA from 1 species